rnacentral:misc_RNA from 2 species
AACGCAAAUUGCGCUUUUCGGUAUUCCGAUUAGCAUGCCUGUUUGAGUGUCAUGACCAUAUCCACCUGCUCGUUGGCUUGUCCGACGGUCCGGCUGGGACUUGGGUGCUUGCGCGUUGGAUAGACACGCUCACCUUAAAAACAUGUUACUUGAUCAAUUGUCAAAAGACGGUUUGACUUGGCGUUAUAAGUUAUUUCGCUGAGGACACUCGCAAGGGUGGCCGUCCAGAAGCUUGAUCUCACCCCAUAGUGCACCACACGUACACGGGGUAACAAUCAUUUGACAUCGGGCCUCAAAUCAGGUAGGACUACCCGCUGAACUUAA